GCUUUGGGUUAGAAAUAUGCGGGACCAUGGGAGUACCUGGUAUUACUAACCUAAAGCUGA
rnacentral:pre_miRNA from 1 species